GACAGAGGAUGCAAGCGUUAUCCGGAAUCAUUGGGCGUAAAGCGCGUGUAGGCGGUUCGGUAAGUCUGCUGUGAAAGUCGGGGGCUCAACCCUCGAAUGCCGGUGGAUACUGUCGGACUAGAGUGCGGAAGAGGCGAGUGGAAUUCCUGGUGUAGCGGUGAAAUGCGCAGAUAUCAGGAGGAACACCAAUUGCGAAGGCAGCUCGCUGGGACGGUACUGACGCUGAGGCGCGAAAGCGUGGGGAGCAAACAGG
rnacentral:rRNA from 1 species